GAAUCUGUGUCAAAUUCUGUGAACCAGGGCCAACACUGGUACCAGCUUCACCCUGACCUGGGGCCACUGCCCUCUCUCUCCACUGCCUUGUGUGUGUAUAGGUGUGGUUGUGUGUGUGUGUCUCUGCUGGGGGCAUGUGCCGCACUUCCCAGCGGACUCUGGUAUCCAUGUGUAACCUUUGGCACCUGUGUUACUGGACUGCAUUGACAGGUGGUGUACAGAUCUGUACAGAUGGGUCUGUGUGAAGAGUUGGGGAGUCCCCCCCACAGUGAAUAUGGAUACUGUUGGUCAGCCAAAGAUUUUCCUAUUCUUUGCUGCUUAAACUUUGUGCCUUAAUAUUGUAAAUAAUAAAUGUUUAAAACAGC
rnacentral:lncRNA from 1 species